GAUGAACGCUAGCUACAGGCUUAACACAUGCAAGUCGAGGGGUAGCAGGGUAGCAAUACCGCUGACGACCGGCGCACGGGUGAGUAACACGUAUCCAACCUUCCCAUAACUCGGGGAUAGCCUUUCGAAAGAAAGAUUAAUACCGGAUGGUACUUUUUCAAGGCAUCUUGAGAAAGUUAAAGAUUUAUUGGUUAUGGAUGGGGAUGCGUUCCAUUAGAUAGUUGGUGAGGUAACGGCUCACCAAGUCUUCGAUGGAUAGGGGUUCUGAGAGGAAGGUCCCCCACAUUGGUACUGAGACACGGACCAAACUCCUACGGGAGGCAGCAGUGAGGAAUAUUGGUCAAUGGGCGAGAGCCUGAACCAGCCAAGUAGCGUGAAGGAUGAAGGUCCUAUGGAUUGUAAACUUCUUUUAUAGUAGAAUAAAGUGACCCACGUGUGGGUUUUUGUAUGUAUACUAUGAAUAAGGAUCGGCUAACUCCGUG
rnacentral:rRNA from 1 species